CACAAAUGAAAUACCACCACUUGGAACGUUGCUUCACUUAUCGAAUGAAGAGACCUAAUGGGUUUCGCGUAGUCUGCGGGCUAUGCACCGUCUAGGUUUGGGAUUUUUAAUAUGGCGGUAACCCCGUCUCCACGGGAGGUUGUAUGCAUGUAUAGCCUCUUUGCCGGGGUGUGUGUGUGCAUACGACCGCGUUUUUACCAUCAGGCCUAGUAUAUAUUUUGCUGGGUUUGAUGGCCCGUGGGCACCCAACCGUGCUGACAAACUGAACCAACGGGGUUGCUUCGGCAGCUCCGGAGUCUUGUUUCGAGACAUCUGCCAGAUGGGGAGUUUGGCUGGGGCGGCAUAUCUGUUACACGACAACGCAGGUGUCCUAAGGCGAGCUCAGUGGGAACAGAAAUCUCACGUAGAACACAAGCGUAAAAGCUUGCUUGAUUAACGAUUUCCAGUACGAAUCGAGACUGCGAAAGCAAGGCCAGCGAUCCUUUGCGAAAUAUAGGAAAUAUGAACAAAUCAUACCAGAGGUGUCAGAA
rnacentral:ncRNA from 1 species